rnacentral:lncRNA from 1 species
AACCAGUUGUUGACCAUAAAGCCUUCAACCCAAGGCAGAGAACAAAGGAAGGAAUGAGGUGUGGUUACCUUACGGGUCCCAAAGAGAACAGUCCAAUCAAGUAUAGGGAAAGUAGAGACCAGAAGCAGUCCGGCAAUGAUGCCCAGGGAGCCUCUGACAGAAAGACUUGCCAAAAUAGGUCAAAGGCAGCCUUUGUCCCCCAGUAAGUCUUUCAGAAGAUGUCCCACCUGCCCAGCCAUUGCUUGCCCCAUAAUUCCUGGUAAUAAACAUUGUUUUUUGUCCCUGCAAA